UAAGGAAUAUUGCGCAAUGGGCGACAGCCUGACGCAGCGACGCCGCGUGGGGGAUGAAGGUCUUCGGAUUGUAAACCCCUUUCGGCAGGGAAGGUGGAACGGGUAACCGUUCGGACGGUACCUGCAGAAGCAGCCACGGCUAACUUCGUGCCAGCAGCCGCGGUAAUACGAAGGUGGCAAGCGUUGUUCGGAUUUACUGGGCGUACAGGGAGCGUAGGCGGUUGGGUAAGCCCUCCGUGAAAUCUCCGGGCCUAACCCGGAAAGUGCGGAGGGGACUGCUCGGCUAGAGGAUGGGAGAGGAGCGCGGAAUUCCCGGUGUAGCGGUGAAAUGCGUAGAGAUCGGGAGGAAGGCCGGUGGCGAAGGCGGCGCUCUGGAACAUUUCUGACGCUGAGGCUCGAAAGCGUGGGGAGCAAACAGGAUUAGAUACCCCCGUAGUCCCUGAGCGGGCUGGCAAGGCGCAU
rnacentral:rRNA from 1 species